GGCAGACGGGUGAGUAAUGCAUAGGAAUCUACCUAGUAGUAUGGGAUAGCCACUAGAAAUGGUGGGUAAUACUGUAUAAUCCCUGCGGGGGAAAGAUUUAUCGCUAUUAGAUGAGCCUAUGUUAGAUUAGCUAGUUGGUAGGGUAAAGGCCUACCAAGGCAGUGAUCUAUAGCUGGUCUGAGAGGAUGAUCAGCCACACUGGAACUGAGAUACGGUCCAGACUCCUACGGGAGGCAGCAGUGGGGAAUAUUGGACAAUGGGCGCAAGCCUGAUCCAGCUAUGCCGCGUGAGUGAGGAAGGCCUUAGGGUUGUAAAACUCUUUCAGUGGGGAAGAUAAUGACGGUACCCACAGAAGAAGUCCCGGCAAACUCCGUGCCAGCAGCCGCGGUAAUACGGAG
rnacentral:rRNA from 1 species